rnacentral:rRNA from 1 species
ACUCCGCCUGGGGGAGUACGGUCGCAAGACNNNNNNNNNAAGGAAUUGACGGGGGCCCGCACAAGCGGUGGAGCAUGUGGUUUAAUUCGAAGCAACGCGAAGAACCUUACCAGGUCUUGACAUCCUCUGACAACUCUAGAGAUAGAGCGUUCCCCUUCGGGGGACAGAGUGACAGGUGGUGCAUGGUUGUCGUCAGCUCGUGUCGUGAGAUGUUGGGUUAAGUCCCGCAACGAGCGCAACCCUUGAUCUUAGUUGCCAGCAUUUAGUUGGGCACUNNAAGGUGACUGCCGGUGACAAACCGGAGGAAGGUGGGGAUGACGUCAAAUCAUCAUGCCCCUUAUGACCUGGGCUACACACGUGCUACAAUGGAUGGUACAAAGGGCUGCAAGACCGCGAGGUCAAGCCAAUCCCAUAAAACCAUUCUCAGUUCGGAUUGUAGGCUGCAACUCGCCUACAUGAAGCUGGAAUCGCUAGUAAUCGC